rnacentral:rRNA from 1 species
UACGUAGGUGGCAAGCGUUGUCCGGAUUUACUGGGCGUAAAGAGCGCGCAGGCGGUCGUUCAAGUCGCGUGUGAAAGCCCCCGGCUCAACUGGGGAGGGUCACGCGAUACUGAUCGACUCGAAGGCAGGAGAGGGUAGUGGAAUUCCCGGUGUAGAGGUGAAAUGCGUAGAUAUCGGGAGGAACACCAGUGGCGAAGGCGACUACCUGGCCUGUUUCUUGACGCUGAGGCGCGAAAGCUAGGGGAGCAAACGGG